GAAACUGCUAUCCCCACCGUCGUGGUAAGGGACAGUUUUAGUCACAUUUUUAUCAUGGCAUCAAAAAAUCCACAAAGUUUUGAGUUCACAUCUUCAAUACCAAGUUUCCACACUUCAUAACAUCAGCAUUCCUGUACAACAUGUAGUUGGCUACAUUCAUAGCAAUAGGCUCUUACAUUCCACUUUAUAUCCCUGUAUUGACUGCAUCCAGUAUUUGUUAUUAGCACCUAUAUGAUUUGCUAAUACCACGGGUUAAGAGAAAUCGUGUGGCAUCUACCCUACUUGGCAAUAUUAUGAGGAGGGUGAGAAGGCCUUCACCAUAAAGGUAGCCCAAACACCACAGUUUUUUCUUCAACUCUUAGAGGCAGAACGGCUUGAGAAUAACACAACCAAUGUUUUUAGGAACAAGCACACGAUAAGGAAAUAACUAAAAAUAUUUCACAGUAACUGACAUAAUAGUUUUUCAUUUUUUCUGCAUACCAAUCACCAAUACUAUUAUAUCAAAGUCUAUUUAACUACUCUCGCAUAUAGUAAUAGUUUUUGUAAAAGUCCUCUUUUUAUCCUAUCUUUUGUGAGUGGUCUUUCAAAAUCUGGAGAAUGUAAAAAAAACCACAACACUGAGAGGUAAAUUGUGAAUUCCAUGUUAAGAUGUACAGCAGGGCCGGGCAGUGGUGGCGCGCACACUUUUAAUCCCAGCGGCUCAAGGCAGAGGCAGGCCGGUCUCUUGAGUUGAGGCUAGCCUGGUCUAUAGAGCCAGGNCCAGGACAGCUAGAGCACCACAGAAAAACCCUGUCUUGAAAAACAAAACAAAACAAAAAUGAUGUACAGCAUGUCCAGAAGCAUAAAUUCAACUUCUUUGGUAUUUCUUUAGUGCCAAAAACAAAUAAAAAGGUGACAACUUCCAACCUUUCUAUCAGCCAUUUUUUUUUUCAUUUCUUUCGGUGCAACUCUCACGAGUAAGGGGCUCUUUUCCAGUUUUACUCCCUGUCCUUCAACUCUUCAGGCUUCACUCAAACAUAGAGCCCAUGAGGCACCAUAGCAGUUCCUCCCUUGAGAAGCAACAGAGUAGGAAGCUAAUGCUCUCCUAACAACCACUAAGUGUUGCUGUCUAACAACCACUAUAUCCCAGGGUUAGGUGAAAACUUGAGCCUACCUUUCUAUACAAUUCAAAGCAUCUCUGACAGAGGGCUGAAGAGACCUGAAAGCCAUUAAGACGCUCAACUCCCUGACAGAAUGAUGCUUUACAUCCUAAAUGUGGAGAAAGCAGCCAAGUCUGACCUUGACAUACAGAGCAUACAGUCUCAACUGUGGAUCAGCUGAAACAGUGACCUCUAGGAGAGGGGAAGAGCAGGCCAGCGGCAGAGCCGUGCGUCUCAGGACCAAGGGGGCCUCGGGGCUCAUCCGACCGGCUUGAUCGAGGAAAGGCACGGAAACCCCGGCCCGCCGCCGGUGUCCACGCAUGCAUGCAAGGGCAGCUGGGCGGCUUGCAGCGGUCUAGAGCUUCCGCAGCCAGUGC
rnacentral:lncRNA from 1 species